ACUCCCCAUCCGACAGAGACCCCCCCCAUGAGCAUCAUCUACUGUAACACCAUGACAUCAGGGUAAUACUAAGUAAGGAAGGCCAAAGUGUCAGGGAGCUACCCCCUUCCUCCUAUUUGUUCCCCCCCCUUAAUUACAAAUGUAUAUCGAAAAAUGUAUAGCAAUUGUACGACCCCACUAUGUACAUUUGAAGUUUCCCCUUCUUUUCUGUACC